rnacentral:rRNA from 1 species
AGAGUUUGAUCCUGGCUCAGGAUGAAUGCUGGCGGCGUGCCUGAGAUAUGCAAGUCGAACGCUUCUUCGUUUCUCACUUUGUUUCGAAACUACGACGCGCGAGGCGGGACUCAUAAAUAUAGAGUUCAGCUUUGCUCGCCGAAGCUCCGAAUUAGAGUGAGGAGCGGAGGAGAGUGGCGGACGGCUGAGUAAUAAGUAAGAAUUUUCCCCAAAGACUCACAUAGCUCACCGAAAGGUGGGGUAAUUUGAGAUAGUCCCCUCACCAACUGUGCUCUUCAUAAUUUGUUUUUAUCCCAUUGUUUUCGUUUGUAAACGAUACUUUGGAAUGAACAGAAAAUGGAUGGAGCGUACAGUUGGUGAGGGGUAAAGACGCAAGUCGCUUUGGGAUAAGCUUGCUUCCUAUCAGGUAGUUGGUGGGGUAAUAGCCUACCAAGCCUACGACGGGUAGUUGGUCUCAUGAGGAUGAUCAACCAGAGGGGGACUGAGACACGGCCCCCACUCCUACGGGAGGCAGCAAUCAGGAAUAGUCGGCAAUGGACGAAAGUCUGACCGCGCGACGCCGCGUGUGGGAUGAAGCUUCACAAGAGUGUAAACCACUGUGGUAGGGGAAGAGAAAGGACGGUACUCUACUAGAAAGUAGCCGCUAACUGCGUGCCAGAAGCGUCGGUAAUACGUGGGCUACAAGCAUUAUCCGGUGUCAUUGGGCGUAAAGGGUCGUGUAGGCGGAUUGAUAAGCCACUUUUCAAAUCUUCGGGCUUAACUCGAAAACUGGGAGUGAUACUGUUGGUCUAGAAGUUUCUUUAGGGAGAACGGAACUGUGGGAGGAGUAGUGAAAUGCGUUGAUACCCACGGGAACACCAGUGGCGAAGGCGGUUCUCUAGAAGAAUCUUGACGCUGAGACACGAAAGUUAGGGGAGCGAAGCAGAUUAGAGACCUGCGUAGUCCUAACUGUAAACGAAUGUAUGCUGGCUGCAUGGUUUUUCGAGCAAUCGAGAUUCCGUGUGGCGAAGGUAACCCGUUAAGCAUACCGCCUGGGGAGUACGGCCGCAAGGUUGAAACUCAAAGGAAUUGGCGGGGAGGCACACAACCAGAGGAACAUGUGGUUUAAUUCGAUACGAAACGAAGAACCUUACCAGGGCUUGACAUGCUACCGUUUUAGUCCGCUGGAAACAGUGGAUGAUCCGCAAGGAUGGUAGUGCCGGUGAUGCAUGGCUGUCGUCAGUUCGUUCCGUGAGGAGUGCCCUUAAGUGGGACAACGA